rnacentral:rRNA from 1 species
CCUACGGGAGACAGCAGUGGGGAAUAUUGCACAAUGGGGGAAACCCUGAUGCAGCAACGCCGCGUGAAGGAAGACGGUUGUCGGAUUGUAAACUUCUGUUCUUAGUGAAGAAUAAUGACGGUAGCUAAGGAGCAAGCCACGGCUAACUACGUGCCAGCAGCCGCGGUAAUACGUAGGUGGCAAGCGUUGUCCGGAAUUACUGGGUGUAAAGGGAGCGCAGGCGGGAAGCCAAGUCAGCUGUGAAAACUACGGGCUUAACUUGUAGACUGCAGUUGAAACUGGUUUUCUUGAGUGAGGUAGAGGUUGGCGGAAUUCCGGGUGUAGCAGUGAAAUGCGUAGAUAUUCGGAGGAACACCGGUGGCGAAGGCGGCCAACUGGACUUUAACUGACGCUGAGGCUCGAAAGUGUGGGGAGCGAACGGGAUUAGAUACCCUUGUAGUC